GACGAACGCUGGCGGCGUGCCUAAUACAUGCAAGUUGAGCGCUGAAGGCUGGUACUUGUACCAACUGGAUGAGCAGAGAACGGGUGAGUAACGCGUGGGGAAUCUGCCUUUGAGCGGGGGACAACAUGUGGAAACGAAUGCUAAUACCGCAUAAAAACUUUAAACACAAGUUUUAAGUUUGAAAGAUGCAAUUGCAUCACUCAAAGAUGAUCCCGCGUUGUAUUAGCUAGUUGGUGAGGUAAAGGCUCACCAAGGCGAUGAUACAUAGCCGACCUGAGAGGGUGAUCGGCCACAUUGGGACUGAGACACGGCCCAAACGCCUUCGGGAGGCAGCAGUAGGGAAUCUUCGGCAAUGGACGAAAGUCUGACCGAGCAACGCCGCGUGAGUGAAGAAGGUUUUCGGAUCGUAAAACUCUGUUGGUAGAGAAGAACGUUGGUGAGAGUGGAAAGCUCAUCAAGUGACGGUAACUACCCAGAAAGGGACGGCUAACUACGUG
rnacentral:rRNA from 1 species